rnacentral:rRNA from 1 species
AUGCGUGAUCAAGUCGGCGUCGACCUGGACGGCUUCCCCCUCGACCACGAGUUCCCGGACGACUACGUGCUAGAGGAAGAGGACGAGUGCGACAUCGACGUGGAGCCUUUGUUCGAGGACGAGCUCGCCAACCAAGCCGCCGGUCCUAAGCCCAAGCGCAAGAGCAAGCGUACGAAGGCGUACAUGGCGGCCGAAGACAAGCUUCUUUGCGAGUGUUGGCGAGACAUUGGACAAGACCCGAAAACGGGCGUCGGGCAAAAGCAUUCGACCUUUUGGACUCGUGUGCACCGAGAGUUCCAUGAGCGCAAGAAGUUUCCACUUUAUCAAUUUGUGAGCACGGCGGGUGGGUCUCCAUUUCCAAGAUGUGGAGGAUGA